rnacentral:rRNA from 1 species
CUCCUACGGGAGGCAGCAGUAGGGAAUCUUCCACAAUGGACGAAAGUCUGAUGGAGCAACGCCGCGUGAGUGAAGAAGGAUUUCGGUUCGUAAAACUCUGUUGCAAGGGAAGAACAAGUAGCGUAGUAACUGGCGCUACCUUGACGGUACCUUGUUAGAAAGCCACGGCUAACUACGUGCCAGCAGCCGCGGUAAUACGUAGGUGG